CCUUUUGGUACCUGCCGAUACCCGUCCAAUGGCGGGGAGGCUGGAGUGUUUGGUUGGCUGCGGCUGAGGCCUGCACCGCGCUGGUUCCGGGAAGUUUUAGGAUGCCGCCAGACCUGGCAGGAGACGCCGUGCGGUUAAUUUUUAAAUCACGUUGACUCGUUUACAUAUUUUAUUUACAACGUUGGGAGUUCUAUUUCCAUGUGCCUUAUUUGCAUUUAGUUUGAGGGCCAUUGAUGCAUCUCUUAACCGAUUUUGUUUUACUUUUGGUUCGCUUGCUUCUAAGUAGAGCUAAACAAGUGUUAUCCCUUUUUCUUGCACAACACUCGUACACAUACAAGCUCAAAUCGUCCUUCAUCUACUGCUGUGUUAACCCGCCUGGACCUCCGAUCCGUUUUGAGACUAACAUCUGGGUCCGGGAAUGACGUUCAGUGAUGUAACGUGGCACGCUGAACGCUACUCUUCCAGAGAACUCAGCGCAGGACGCAGAGUGACGCGGAGACUAUCUGCUUGCAAUAAGGAGCUGUGUCAGUCAGUUAAAAGUCCCCGGAGCGAGAAGAAUAGGAAAAUGAAGGAGAAUAAAUAUUGAGUACGGUAUUUGACGAAUAAUUUGACAAAGCAAUAUGAUCCAACACAUUCAGAAGUCCUACCCUCAUCUCUUGCCAAAACACACAUUUGCAGGCGUUCCAGGGUGAGAUGAGUGUCUGGGGAGGAGGUUGCUGAUUCGCAAACCAUACAUUCAGGGAGCUGCAGGAACAACAAUAAUUAGUAGAGCUACUUGAGAACCCAUAGCAUUUUUCAAUGACUGCAGUUCUCUGGGCUCAGAGAAGGCUAAGAUGGCGUCCCAUGAGGAUAAGUGCAUGAUAAACUGAGCAGACAUGUAUCACAUUGAGCUCACUGGAGUGGUCUCUGUAUAUGAAGGGUACCCGAACAAUACGCUAGUUAUCAAUGGACGUAAGACUUAGAUCAUCAUUUCGUCCUCCAGACACAGACUGCUCCACAAAGGCAAACGUUAAGAUUGGAUUACAAAUGGGCAAACAAUCCAAUCGAAUCCCAAAAAAAAGUAAACUUACUCUAUAUUGUACAGAUACUUCGCUAUUGUAUUGUAUUGAUGAAAAUUUGAUUAGAUCAUGAGUCUGUAUUACCUACUGCUGUAAUGAAAGAGGUUGCCAAGUCGCUUCCAUUAUGUCAUCUGGACUAUUGUACGGCUAUCUGGUCAUCUGCCUCAAACAAAGGGAAUAAACCACAGUACAAAACAGCUAACAGCGAGCUUGGCAUUUGACUACCCUGGAGAAGUUUAUAUGCACUUCACUUACAUGGUCAAAUACUGCAAAAUAUCUAGGACCUGUUUGUAUCGCAAAUUAAUUUAGCUUUUUGACAAUAUGUAAUAUUGGUUGGAAAUUGGUUCCCCCCCACGGCUUAACGACUUUAACGUGCUAAGGAUGUGGAUUUUGGAGUGCAAUAAAAAAAAUGAAAUGUCAACCGAUCACGUAGAGAUACAGACUCUCUCAAUCAUGUUACCGAGGGCCGCUGGACAAACGUAAUCACUUUUUCUUCGUCUAAUAUAGGGCAGGACCUAGGGUUCGACGGAUCAAAGGA